CACGUAGGCGGAUCGUUAAGUCGAGGGUGAAAUCCUGGAGCUCAACUCCAGAACUGCCUUCGAUACUGGCGAUCUCGAGUCCGGAAGAGGUGAGUGGAACUCCUAGUGUAGAGGUGGAAUUCGUAGAUAUUAGAAGAACACCAGUGGCGAAGGCGGCUCACUGGUCCGGUACUGACGCUGAGGUGCGAAAGCGUGGGGAGCAAACA
rnacentral:rRNA from 1 species